UUUACUUUCUAUUACAGAAGAAUUUAUUUGAAUCUCUCUUUUCCUUGGCUAAGAAGAAUGAAGAGGCAGGAGACUUGGGGGACCCCUUAACUGGGGAUAAUUACUGGGACAAAUCAGCCAGCACAAAGAGGAGGCACUAAACAAUCAGUCCUGGUCUCUGUUAUCAGAGACUUUUGAUGCUACCAUUGGAGUCAGACAAGCAGACAAACAUCAACAAAAUGAUUAUAAACUAUGACACACUAUGAUGGGAAAGAAGGAGGCUGACAGAGAGGACAUUGGCAGGAAGGAGCCCUACUGUAGAUGUGGUGGUCAGAGAAGGGCCUUUGUGAGAAGCUGACACAUAAUCUCACAGUUGAAGUUGUGAGAAGGAGCUGGUCCUCCAGAGAGAAGUAGGAAGAGCGCUCCAGCAGAAUCUCUGGAAAUGAAUGAGUCAUGAUUCCAAGGUAGACUAUGUAUUCACAUCAUAUUCUUGCAAUCUUUCCCUUAUUUCCUUUGCAGACAAGUGCAGCUACGACUGCUGCUGGGACCGCGAUACUGUGAUGAGACUUUGCAUAUUUAAAAGGAUGUCGAGAGAGGAGGAGGAAUGAUAAAUGAACUCAGGAAGAUGUGAUGUCUUCUGUGAUGACACUAAUAGAUGGAAUGCAGAAUUCAGCUCCAAUACUUAGGGUUGGAAACCAAACAUAAACAAGCAAGCAAGGAAAAUGAAAAGGAAUGUGUGUGUGUGUGUGUGUGUGUGUGUGUGUGUGUGUGUGUAGGUGUGAGAGUAUAUGAAAUACAUGAAAAGAUAAAAAGUUAGAUGCUGCUAAAGGGACAGACAUGUAGGAAUUUUACAUUAGGGUUGUUCUGAUUUUCAUUUUCUUGCCUUUUAAAAUUUAAUGAUAAACAAGUCUCCAGAGAUUUUUACAGCCUGGGAGACCACUGGUAAGACAACAAUAUAGGUGGUCCUCCAGCAGGAUCUAAAUCAGAGCCUUCAUAGUGGACUGUCGGGCCAGGUGCAGCUGUAGACAAUGCAUCUUCAGGAGUGGGGUGAAGAAAUUUAAUGGACUAGUAAUGCAACAGGAGGUAGAAGAAAAGUGUUCUCUCACUAAAGCAUGGUGGGUGUUUUCAAAAUGUUUAAAAAACAUUUUUAGGCCGGGCACAGUGGCUCACACCUGUAAUCUCAGAGCUUGGGGUGGCUGAGGACCCAAAAGGAGGAUCCCUUGAUGCCAGGAGUUGUAGACCAGCCUGGUCUAACAUAGCAAUACCCUGUCUCUAAAAAAAAAAAAAAAAAAAAAAAUUAAUUAGCCAGGCAGGUGACAAGUGCCUGUAGUCCCAGUUACUCAGGAGGAUAAGGCAGGAGGAUCGCUUGAACCCAAGAAUUUGAGGUUGUGGUAAGCUGUGAUCGUGCCAUUGCA
rnacentral:lncRNA from 10 species